CAAAGGUAGCGUAAUCACUUGUCUUAUAAAUAAAGACCAGUAUGAAUGGCUAAAUGAAUAUUUAACUGUCUCCUUCAACUAAUCAGUGAAACUGAUCUUUCAGUACAAAAGCUGAAAUAUAAACAUAAGACGAGAAGACCCUGUGGAGCUUUAAAUUUUUAUCAGAGCCUGUAUAAAAUAAGCCCAUGGUAAAGAAUUUUUAGUUGGGGCGACUUUGGAGUAAAAUAUAGCCUCCAAGAAAAGGCACCGCCUAAACACGGCCCACAAGCCAAAACUAUGCGACCCAGUACCACUGAUCAACGAACCAAGUUACCCCAGGGAUAACAGCGCUAUCUUCUUCAAGAGUCCAUAUCGACAAGAAGGUUUACGACCUCGAUGUUGGAUCAGGACACCCAAAUGGUGUAGCCGCUAUUAAAGGUUCGUUUGUUCAACGAUUAACAGU
rnacentral:rRNA from 1 species